ensembl:lncRNA
AAAUUUUUGGAUGUGUUGGUAUAAUAAUAAUUUGCUUUGGGGAACAGAAAAGCCUGGUCUAUGUAAGCCACGUACGAGGAACAGGACCCUGGUGAGUCAAAAAGAAAACUGACAAGCAGACAGUGAAAACACUAUAAGGAUAUAAUUCAAAGCAGUGAGAAGGUUUUUCCGUCCAUAAUUCAUAAUCACCUAUAGCAUGAAAUGGUAAGAGGCAAAGUAAGGCUCCAUCUAGCCCGUGACUGUUGGCAACUGUGGCAUGUUACACUGCAACACACGGCUUAAGAAGCUGACACACAUAAUGAACAUAUGAUAUGGUCUCUGUUCCAGAACAUGGCACUAUCAAUAGAGUCAAUUGUACCUGCUUCUUGUUGAUUUUAACUUGAGCUAGCAGAUUCCUUUCCCUUCGCACAGCCAUAUGUUUGGAUCGAGGUUUUGACCCCACAUGUCUCACAACAUUUGCACGAUCUAUGGAGGGAAGAAUAAAUACAUGCUUCACAAAAAGAGCAAGACUUCCUUUGUUACUACAAUAUCCUCUUAAUUUCUGUUGACGCGUCAGAAUGAAAGCAGUAUUAAUCAUUCGUCUGUUUGAGCCAAAGAAGGAUUGCUGUUGCCUGACAUCAUCUCAAGCUGAUAUAUGAAGCUUGAUCGGAGUGAGAGAGACCGGCUGAAAUAUAACAAACACCUUCUCUUCUACUCUACCGGAGAUUAUCUUGUUUUUGAUUUGAAUUAUUGGCAAGGACUUCAAUCUGUUUCGAACGGAUAGUCUAAUCAAGGUUUUAAACUAGCAAUUUUUAUUAGCAUAGCAUCGUAGCAUAGAUCACUUAGUAACCAAAUGCAAAGUACUUUCUCUGUUCUGCCCACAAUGGACAUACCUCAAUCAAAAUAAUGGGAGAGUUAAGGGGCACAAUGCAAAUUGCAAAAAGAUAAUAUAGGGGCAAAUCCAACUUAAGCCCUAGAAGGAGCAUAUACGCUCUGCUAUCUAGCCAAAGACACAAAUCCAUGAAUUCAGUUUACAAGUUAAAAAAAAACGAAAGUACUGAGGGAUGGAUCGGGCAACAGGAUCAGGUGGGCUCGACAGGGUGAGUAGGUUUUGUGUCCACCAGGAUUAGAGAAAUGAUCUGUGUCGCGGAUGUUUCUUAAUGCACUGUCACAUUAUGUAAAUCCCCACUCUGUAUGAAUGCCACAGAUACUCUAUUUGUUUGCCUGCUACACGUUGUUUCCCCAUGAGCUGCAUAGAUUGACCUCAAUUUGUUUCACCCCCUCACACAUUUCUGUCAUUGAGGACGUAAUGGUAAACGACAGCACACGUUUCCUCUUGCUGUGUGGGAAACAUUGAGAAAGAUCAGAGCAUUCUCACUGUGAACGAUACAAACUUUGACAUUAGAGGAAGACAAAUCACCAGAGAGGCGCUCAUGGACCAGCCAGCUCCCUGCUCGCUCUUCUCGUCUGCCUUAACAGAACAGUCAGCUCCCGCUCUCCUCCUCAUUCUCCCUCCGCUUUGAUUCUGAAUCUGCCCCUCUUCCCCAACUCUGUCUCCACCUUAAAAACCUUUGUGGCCGACCGCAAGAUCGGCGCUAAUUGACAGACUGACCUGGGGAAAGGUAGUGUUACUCCUCAUCAAUACACCUUUCGUCUCUGGAUCAAACACCUUUCCUGUCUCAGCUUUUUUUCUUUUUGCCUUUACCAGUGCCUCAGACUUACACAGCAUUGAAGUCUGCCAAUCAGUGUUGUUACACAGACUGGGAAAUGAAUCCAUGCCGUGCACGUUGGCAGAUAGAUGAUGAGGGCAGGACCAGCGUAAGUAGAGUGUGGACGGAUAGCUUUUGCGAGGUUGAACUUGAACGAUGUGAUGCGUACCACUAAGACCGACCUCCAGCCCUCCCCUGUCAAUUUGGCUUUCAUCUCAUCACAUGCACGUACAGCUCCGGUCUUUACAUGAUCCUCUUCAGAGAAAGGCUGCCUCCAAUUCCUACCUGGCUUCCUUUCUUGUGUAUUUUAGACUAGAGUGAGAGAAAACAAGCCAAAGAGCAAACCUCACUGUUGAGUUUAACAACACUGUCACUCACUGUAGUGAAUGUCUUUACCCAGCAUUGCCUUUUUUUACCAGCAAAGUGCCUCUGAAUGUUAUCUUUACGACUGUGAAAACCGACAGCUGCCGGUAGGAGAGAAAUAAUUGCAGCUGCCAGUGUGACAGACAUUGUUGACUGACUUGUACAAUAGCAGAACAAUGACAUUCCUUCCCAAGUACUUGGAAGCCAGAGGAAUUCAUCCAUUCUCAUUCUGUGGACGAGCCAGUUGUUUGCAGCUGUAGCAAAGGGUCUAAGAUAACAAUAUUUAACGUUUUGUAUUCUGAAUGUGACAAUUGCAACAAAAGCCCUACCCAGAUCCAAACUCAUCUUGGAAAGAUAAUUCUCAUCUUAAAAAUCCUUACUGCUGCUUUUCUGGCAAAGAGUCCAACAUGUAAUCACACACACACAUCCUGUAAUGGUUACAACAAUACAACAUGCACACAUUACACUCGUAAGAUAUUGAUUAUCUAGAAAGAGGAAUGUACUAGGAUACUAACUAAUCAUGAGCAAAGUGUUAUCUUCACAGGUAGAAAAUACAGAAAGCAGUAGACGAGAGGGAAUAGCUAUAUUGGAGCUAAAGCCCCGGAUCACUCUGAUCAGAGCUGCGAACACAAGUCCCGAAAGAUACAUUCGGCUGAGGAAGAGCAACGAAUCCCCAACGAAGCAUUGGAUCAAACUUAACCCCCGUGCAAAAGAGCGACAGGACUGGACUAAUUUGCAUAUUGUAUUUAUUUACCUGUUGGAGUAUUUUCAAACGGAUAAAUGGAUAUUGUUGCUAAGACUAAUGUUUAACGGUUUGAAGCAUUCAUAGAUUUGCUCACAAUAUUUUUUUUAGAAGUUGGUUAUGGCUCAGUUUUGGCUCAAUUCGGUGACAUUUAGGGCACCCCUCGGGUAGAACAACUUAUAUGCCAUCCCAGGACACCGCUAUGGAUAACAAUCGACACAGUCCACAGUGCACAAAGAACGCCAGAGAAAGUAAUAUGAAGUAUGAUUGAACAACAUUAAUCUGAAAACUCUUUAAAAAAAUCUUAAAUCUAGAUUUAAAAUAGGAGCUGUAGUACCGAGGGGAUUUUAAAGCCCGGAACCAAAUCUCGGGUGUGUUUGAAAAGACUUUCUUCCAGUGGUCAACAAUUAAUAAAAAUGUUGAUUGGAUGGAUUGCGUAUGAUACAAUCAGCAAUGUCACUAAAUUAAAUCAGUUAAGCCACGUACUUUCAGCAAAAAGUAAUAUUGCAAUCUUAAGGCAGAGGAGAUUCCGUCAAUAACGCCCACAAGAGCAAACACAUUUAUUAACUUGUAUGCAAAGACUUUUUAUUUUCUGUCUUUCAUAGAAUACAAGCACUUUUAACUAAUUUAAGAUAUUACAGAAUAUAUCUACAGCUACAUUAGCUGAAUGUCAGCACACACAUCAUUCUCCUUCAUCAUUCUCCUUCAGCUUUGUGUAUUUAUUCUCAAUGUUACAGACUUAGAAAGGGAUAUUUCAGGUCCAUAACGUGUCUACUUGAGCUCACUUUGAUCCAUUUCUGAUCAUAAUAGGAACAUAACAUGGCACGGGAGCACCACGGUGAUGAUUCAGCACCUCAAACAAGCAUGUUGGGGUCAUGAAGAGGAAGGGAGUUCAACAGCAGACUGCUUUUUACUCGUUAUCCAUCUUGAAAAGCCGGUGUUAGCUCGUUCUAAAAAUUACACCAAUUUUUUUAGAUUAUUCCAAUGGCAGAAUACAAGGCGCAGCUUUGAGGUGCGUUAAUGCCAUUUAGGAGGUGCGUAAACCCCAUUUCCAAUAACUCUGUUGUGCAUAAAGAGUGUUAACAUAUGUUUACCCUCCACUACAGCCCAGCAGCAGAUUAAUUGGGACAUAGCUUCAGACUCACUGCUCUGCAGCUCCCUGGUCUCAGCCUUGCUAACCUGAUCGAUCACCAGCCUGCUCGCAGAUUCCUCCUGCCCAGCCCACAUAGGACGCAACUCCCCCAUUCCUUACCGCUGACUCCGUUAAAAUAAAGAUAACUACUGCUACGGCUUCGUUGUUCUUGCUCUUGGAUCCAGCACGUAUAUUGUAGCGUUACCUUUCGAGAUGUGUGGCAAUGGUAAUUUCACCAAACUUGCUUUGUGGAACCGAAAAGCCUGAAAAUGAUCCGCCGAACUCAGUUAGCCAUGUACUAGGAACGAGGGACAAGGCACAUGGAAAGUCACUGAGGGGGAGAAAACACACCAGGGCAGGAAGUGAAGUUAGCAGAGGGGCAGGGAAAUACCAAGUUAAACAGGACAACCCAAACACCGUGAUAGAUACAGUUUGCCAUCUCUGUUCAAUCAAUUAUUCUAUCAUUUUUGUAAAUCACAAUGUGACUGCGCACAAAUUCCUCAACUUCCCUUGGCAAGCAGAGAAAGACUGUACUGGUAUAGGAUACAUUUUACACAUUGAUGUGAGUCAUAAAAUAAAAAGAGCCCAGGCAAGGCCUCAACCAGACAGGCUAAAAAGGAAUGCUUAAGCAUCUGGCUCAUGCACGAUGGCGACUUGGAGGCAGUCUUCAUCCAAUUGGUCUAUAAUGGGUGACAGAAGAAUGAGCUGAGCAAGUGCAGCCCAGAUGCAGACAGGGGAAGAAAAUACUGCCUGUAGCGUUGUGGAUGCAGGCAGUGAUGCAUUUCUACCCGGUAAGUCUGGUCACCGGGGAGCUUCGGUCUCCGGCGUUCGCCACUCGCUCUUAGCGGCCAGAAACUUCUCCUCCUCGCCUUAGUUUUCCAGUUUUUCUCCUCUGCCAUUACUCUGCCUGAGGUAAAUAUAACCACAGCCUCUAGGGAGUCAGUGGGUGUAUGCUUUCAUCUUGAUGGGGUGUUUGUGUGUGUGUGGUUUUUAUCCCACCCUUCUGCAGAGUGCCGUCUCUUUCGAACUAAAUCAGCUUGCUCGCUGUGAGCUUGUCUCUGCUGGGCAUCUGCUAAUGCCUGCUCCAUUACAGCCAGCCCAUCUCUGGCUAGGAAAGCAACAAACGCAUACACACGUGCAGCCAGAUUUGUGUGCUUGAUAAACAAGUUUCAAGUCCUGCUAUGCUGCCCGAGAUGCAUAACUAAAAGUCUCUCAAAAGGUGAAAGAAUGAGGAAAAAGAGAAGUAGAUUAACACACAAAUCUAUCAGAGGCCAAAACUAUCUGCCCUCUUGGUUUGAUGCCUCAGGGGAGCGUGGGUAUGUUCUGCCGCAUUAUUACGUGUCUUCACAGGAAAUGUUUGGCAGGGUUAAACGGUUAGGAAAAGCCUCCAUUUGGGCAACCUGUACUUCACUAGAUCGCAAGGCAAGGUCCUUGGAGACCCUGUUAAUGGGCCCACAUACCAGCACCUCUGUGUGUGGGUGUCUGGUCACACACACACCGGAUGCUCCUUCGAAUAACAAAAGUUUUCCUUGAUUGUGUAUUAUGUCCUGUUAAACCAAUACAUAAUCACCACACCUCACUAACACAAAAAAUAAUAAGAGGGGGAUGGCAUCCUCCAUGCUGCCCCAUAGUUUUAAAGGAGUUUGGUCAAAAUGUGUUUUGGCUGCAGAGGUAGAGCAUCCUGUCUGAUGAUAAUGUGAUAUAUCCUAUAAUGGAGGCAGAGAUCAAUUAUUCAGUCACAACCUCUUGUUGCCCCCCUCCCCAAUAGCCUCCUCCUCUCUUCCCCUCCAUUCUGCAUUUUGGAAAUAAUCAGCUGUAGACUGCUUCAUUGUUGACAGCUGAAUGGAUCGUUUUGUAAAGCUUUCUAACAACGCCAUGUACAUACUGUGCCUUGCCAACUACACGCUUAUGGAGUAUCACAGGUCUCAAUGUGUGCAUAUGCCAGCAGUAGUAAGUGAAGAUGCAAGACAAGCAUUUUUUGGACAGCAAGUGCUCUACCCUCUCAGCGCGCUCGCUACCCGCUCAGACAGUAGCAUAUGUCUACUCAUGAUUAACAUAUCAUAUGGAACCGUAUUGUUCAGAGUCUGGAGCCCUUCAUCAUUACUCCCCUCGUCUUGCUGUUUUCCUUAUUAUUGAAACAAAAAUAAUACAAUUCAUGAUUUUUUCGAACUCAGUCUUAUUGGCCCCGACUCAUUUUCUGUAAAGAACACUGUAUAUCAGACCACAUUUUCAUAGACCGCACACCGUAACCCCCCUUACACACUUUUAUUAAAUACAUAAUGUUUGGGUCCCAGGUCAAAUAAAAGUGAAAAUGUUAGGCCCUCUGUACCUUCAGUCAUAAAAGUCUACACUGGGAAACAACGAAGAAAAAUCAAGGGAUGAGAGUUGUCCUGGACAUGGCUCAGUGGAAACAACAUCACAUGCAGCAAUUUCUUUACACUGGCUGAGUAACAAAAGCAUGAACACUAUCAGGUCAGCUGUAGUGUCAAUAUAAAUUUAUUAUUUAUAUUAUAUAUAAUAUGAUCGUAGCAGCAUUGAAGUGACGAGAGUAGGACCAUUGGUGUGGCGCACAAACCUAUCAUACUACAUACUAUUGGUCCUACUUAUAGCUGGAUUUCAAUCAAAUCUUUUUUUUCCCCUCAAACAUUGCUUAUGCACAUGCAUCAUGUUACGUAGGAGCUGGACACACCCUGCUUCAUUGUCUUAUUUAUUUCACUUGGCCCGCUGGAGAUGAGCCACUCCUGAUCAGAACGGAUCACCGGCGCAAUGAGUUGAUUGGCUCUUAGAUUUGACAGAAAACACCACGUUUUGCUGGAAAUCUUAAUUUUCUGUGCAGCUCGGUUGUUAGUUAAUCGGCUCAUGAUUAAUCUAAAAUACAUGUUGUGUGAUUGAUAAUAACAAAUGUUCAUUAUAAAAUGAAUAUAGUAACAAUAAGAUUUAAGUGUUUCAUAGGCAGACAUUAAAAGAACAAAGGAUAGAAUGCAAUGCAGAUGCACACAUGUUUGUAGGUAAAUGUAUCAUGAAGUUGUUUACAUCUUUGUGCAGAUGAUGUCAAGAGUCCCUCCCUUUCCAAGUGUGUUGCACUACAGUAGCCUACAGGUAGGGAAAGUUGGAAGUUAUUUACUAAUUAUAUAUGGCAUGUAAGAGUUAUUUUUACAACAGAGAAGAAACUAAUUAAAGUCAGCAAAUUCUCAGUGGAAGAAAUCUAAAAUGUAAAUGAAAUAACAUUUCCGAGUGAAGAAGAUUCCAGACAUCAGUCAUUUCUUCUGUCCUUUGUCAGUCUGCUGUGUUCUCUCCUCUGUCCUCCUGGCUGGUUUAUCUCUGCCAGCGGAGUAGUUUCCUUUGAUUUAGUUAAAUAUUACGUUUCAUUGUGGUUGGUAGUUGAAAUGAUUUGAUAAAGUAUUUUUGCGGCAAUAAGUGUAUUUGCCGUCAACUGAAGUAACCAGGUGUGUGUGUACGAGAGUACUGAUAAUUAAUCACAUAACUUUAAAAAGCCCUAAUUCCAUCAAGUCUUAUCAAUACAGUGAAUUUAGAGUUGUCUGUUUCUGUGUCUGAGCUCCUGCAGAAACAGGGCGGUGCAAGAUGGCGGACUCCGAGGAAGAGGAUCCUCUCCCUUUGUGGAUAUAAAAUAAAAUACGUAUAAAAUCUUAGUUUCAAGUAAUUACACAUUGAUUGUGUAUUCAAUUUUUAAUUCAUUAUCUGCCGAUGACCUUCUUAGAAUUUUUCCCUUAAGAAAAAAACAUGUUGUUUCCAAAAUUUCCAAAACGGUUCCAUUUAUCCUUUUUGAGUAAAUGAUGACUCUCAGCCUUGGCAGCAGUGUUGCUACAACCAGCAAAUUCUCAGACUACCCUGGUCACUUUCUUUUCAAACAGCUCCUAGCAAGACAGAUAUUUAAAAAAAUAUAUUCCACAUGAUUUAAGAUAAGUGUCUUGUUCAAUAAAAUAGCAUAGAUGCCAUAUUAUUAGCUUGUACCUAUAAUUGUCAGUUUGGUAGCAAUAUACUGCAAACAACUAUAAUAGUUCAGAAUAUGUAGGUUUAUUAGUAAAGGAAAAAAAGUAAUUUUUCAAUAAUGUGUAAGGUGUAACUGUUAAAUAACUCAAUAUGUGGUCUUUAAAAAUAUCGGACAAUAUAAAAUGUUUUGUGUUUAUAUUACUACCAGGGCCUCGAGCUCUAAGUGUGUAAAGCUCCUAUUGUAUAAAAACAUCUGCAACUGGUAAAGACAAACACAAAAAGAGUAGGUCAUUGCAUAUAACUGGUGCAGGGGUGUAAAGCUCUAAAACUAUCUCAGCUACACGUGCCCGACUCCACCUGCAAGUGGAUCACAGACUUCCUGUCUGACAGGAAGUAGCAUGUGAAGCUGGGGAAACAUGUCUCAGCUUCUCAGGCCAUCUGGUUCCCCACAAGGCUGCGUUCUUUCCCCUCUGCUCUUCUCCUGUACACCAACAGCUGCACCUCCAGUCACCAGUCCGUCAAGCUCCUGAAGUUUGCGGAUAACACCACCCUCAUUGGACUGAUUUCUGGUGGGGAUGAGUCCGCCUACAGGUGGGAGUGUGACCAUCUGGUGUCGUGGUGCAGCCAGAACAACCUGGAGCUCAACGCCCUAAAGACAGUGGAGAUGGUUGUGGAUUUCCGGAGGAACAGAGCCCCACCUUCCCCCAUUACCCUGUGUGACUCCCUCGUCAGUAUUGGGGAUUCCUUCCCUUUCCUGGGCUCCAUCAUCACCCAGGACCUCAAGUGGGAGCUGAAAAUCAACUCCAUCACAAAGAAGGCUCAGCAGAGGUUGUUCUUUCUGAGGCAGCUGAAGAAAUUCAACCUGCCAAAGACAAUGAUGGUGCACUUUUCCACGGCCAUCGAGUCCAUCCUCUGCUCCUCCAUCAGUCUGGUACACUGCAGCCACAGCCAAGGACAAGGGUAGGCUGCAGCGCGUCAUUGGCUCUGCAGAGAGGGCGAUCGGCUGCUAUCUGCCGUCCCUGCAGGACUUGUUCGCUUUUAGGUCUCUGAAGUGAGCUAAAAAGAUCGUAGCUGACCCCGCUCACCCCAGACAAAACCUGUUUGUGCCCCUUCCAUCUGGCAGGAGGCUGAGGUCCAUCAGGACUAAGACUUCCCGCCACACAAACAGUUUCUUCCCGUCUGCAGUCGGGCUCAUCAACAGAGCCCAGUCCCCCACUGACUGACUCUGACAUUCCACCAGUCACUUUCUUUGCACGUCCAUAUUGCAUAGUAACAAACAUACGGAGUGCGGAAACGAUACGUGCACGUUAGCAGGACAACUUGGUUGCCGUUUCCUUCUCAAGGUGUGCCGUGUGUACUGGUUUAAAGGCGUGUGUCUCACAAUCAAUGCGUCAGGGGUGAGAACCCUGCAACAAGUGUAUUAUUUUAGAAAACUGAGCAGGCAGGUCCACAUGGAUAUCUCGGCCGACAGUCUGCCGAAAAGCCCUGAGCUGUUAAACGGGUCUGAAGGUGGAAAUCAAACAUUUUAUUGUCUCAGCACAACAUCUUGAUACAUAUGCUGUUCCUUGGCUUCAUUCCUUUUUCUUGUCACUUUGAGUAGCCAUGUAAACUUUUUUUCUUCUUCUUUUCAUACAUCACAGCUGUGUUUUUUUGUUGGUUUUUUGAGUCCAAACACCUUUCUGUUUAGUUCAGUUUUUACCUGGCUGAAUGAGAGUAGUUUUUGACAUUACAUCAAUACUCCAACUUAUAAAUUAAUCUGACUUAACAGCCCAGUGGUGUCGCUCCGGCAUACAAUUACAAGUCAAAACAGGCAGGUAAUUAAACGCUGCAAUUCUGUGAUUCCUCUCAAAAUACACCAAUCCCUUUCCCAAACAUGACUUUAUGCCGUGAUCAGCAGCGAAUAUUCAACUGAUCGCUGUAAAUAGAUGGCUAAAUUAGAAAUCAAACCUGAAGACAUAAUUUGUUGUAAUGACAAGCUCCUUCAAAAGACCACAGCAGGCCAGCUUCCCCCUGCAUUUUGACAGCCUUUCUUCACAUCUCAGGCUACUGACAGGGCUUUGUACGCACCAUGUCACCUCAAAUCUGUCUGCCACUGCUAUUUUCUACUCCCCUCUCCAUGCUUGUCUUACAAAGACACUUGCAUUUAAUCAGGCAGCCACUUCCUGGUUGAUCAGGUGGUAUCCCAAACUGAGGACUUGUAGCCACGAGUUCUCUUCUUUUCCCUCUAUCAUAUCUGAUAUGGAUCCCGUUGACAUUACUGAUCGUAAGUUUAGCACAGUGAUGCUAAUUCCCGCUGAUGGCCUUUUCCUCUCAGCUUCGAUGUAACCUGAUUAUGCCAAUCACAGCGUCUAACGAGUGGAGAAUCUUGGCAGCUGCGAGUCCCGUUCCUGAAGCAAACUGUUUUUUACCCUCCCACCACUAAGUAGAUGAAGAUACACAACAUACUUGGCGUGGUACAACAUUAAUAUCAUGAGCCUGUUUAUGUGAAAUCUUAAAUGUCCCACUACAGUUAUGCAGAAAGGUUUUGUAUUUGUCAGAUGUAUGUUCUUUGCCAUUUGUAAUAUCCAAACAAGUAGGGGAAGCAUUUUUCCUCUGGCGCUUGGUCCAUACACUCAUUCAUCAGUUAAAAAAUAAAAAGUGAAAAGGUGUGUUGUAUCUGUAACAAAAAAAAAGCUUCUUGAUCCAGUGGUCUGUCUUUGGUUCCCGGACAGGAUAAGAUGAAGCGGCUUAGUUUAGUGCACGACUCUGGCCAAGAAGCUGCCAUCCAGGGCAUUGACCACUAGCGGGCCCGCUAGCGUCUCCACGAUAACCUGGGCUUUGGCUACAAACUCCAUGAAAUUUUGUGGCAAUGAGGACGAACUGGAAAUAUUUUUUUGACCAGAUUCUGACGCUGCUCUAGUUCUCUAGGCUCCACUCUAGCAAGCCACAUAGUUACUAAUGUAAAUCUCAGAAAUGGACUGAAAAAGUCCUGAAACAUAAUCAGUGUUAUUGAAAAAGGUUGAAUAGAUAUUGCUGAAUUUUUGUCAAGAUUCUUGAAAUGGUGGCUGUAGCUGAAUGAUUGAGGGAGAAGGCUUUUAAACUUUAAAAAGUUUAAGCAAAUUUGGAAAAAAAAAACUCAGAUUGGGUUAAAAACGCAAUGUAAGUCGCUUUUGGAUAAAAUCAACAAGAGGUAGAAAGCUGAAAAAUCUCAAUCCAAAAGAGCACCUUUGGGAUGUGGUCGAAUAGGAGAUUCACAUCAUGGAUGUGUACCCUACAAAUCUUUUUGAUGCUAUCAUAUCAAUAUGGACUGAAAUCUCUGAGGAAUGUUUUCAACACCUUGUUGAAAGUAUACCACAAAGAAUUAAGGCAGUACCCGGGGCAAAAGGGCAUUCAACCUUUUACUAGCAAAGUCUACCGAAUAAAGAUCCUGGUGAGUGCAUAACAUAUAAGUACAAAACAUUUUUGCAAUGGCAUUAAAGAUCAAAUUUAUGGCAUUAAAUGCGUCCGUUAGUAUGCAAAGAUCGCUAAUUAGCAUUAGCAUUAGUUUUCCUUUAGCUCCCGCGGACGACCGCGCAAUCGUGACGUGACAGAAUUUUUUCAUCAAUGGCUCUACUGGUACUGCCUUCGCCAUUGGCAAUCGACCAGUCGAUCACAAUCAACCCUGGUGCAGGGUUACUUCACCCCCCUUGAUUUCUGACGGUAAGCAUUUUUCCAGCCUGUCACGCUAUUAUCUAAGUGUAUCAGGAUA